GGCGGGGUAGCUCAGUUGGUUAGAGCGCAGGAUUCAUAACCCUGAGGUCACGGGUUCAACUCCCGUCCCCGCUACCA
rnacentral:tRNA from 1 species